AAAGGAAUUACAGAGCAAUUUCUCCUUUGGCAGAAAUUAAGAUGGUGCAUUGUUAAUUCUUUGCAUUUCAUAUUUCUCUCUGCCAAGGGAGAAUUGCCCCGCUAUUCGCCC
rfam:Macleaya cordata isolate BLH2017 scaffold1297, whole genome shotgun sequence.